rnacentral:rRNA from 1 species
UCAGGACGAACGCUGGCGGCGUGCCUAACACAUACAAGUCGAGCGGGGACAUACGACGGAGUCAAAGUUUCGGAUGGAGACAAAGAUGUAUGUUCUAGCGGCGGACGGGUGAGUAACGCGUGAGCAACCUGUCCCUUACAGGGGGAUAACACAGCGAAAGUUGUACUAAUACCGCAUAAGACCACGGAAGGACAUCCUUCAGGGGGUCAAAGGAGCAAUCCGGUAAGGGGUGGGCUCGCGUCCGAUUAGAUAGUUGGUGAGGUAACGGCCCACCAAGUCGACGAUCGGUAGCCGACCUGAGAGGGUGAUCGGCCACAUUGGGACUGAGACACGGCCCAAACUCCUACGGGAGGCAGCAGUGGGGAAUAUUGGGCAAUGGGGGAAACCCUGAACCCCAGCAACGCCGCGUGAGGGAAGAAGGUUUUCGGAUCGUAAACCUCUGUCCUUGGUGAAGAGUGAGAGACGGUAGCCAAGGAGGAAGCCCCGGCUAACUACGUGCCAGCAGCUGC